GAACAAAAAUCCAACUGAAGUCAUACUAUCUAGAGAUAAACAUGUUUUCUUAUAUAAACUAACAUUUUUAAACAAAAUGAAAUUAUAACAACACAUUUACAUAUAAAAUAUGAAGGAGCAUUAUAUUCCUUUCCAUUGAUGUAUAUUCAUAUUUUAUCCAUCCUCUAGUUUAUAAUUAUUCAUAUAGCUUUUUUCCCAUGAUUUUAGUGGAAAGAGGGAAAGUUUAUAUACAAAACAUUUAUAUAUUGCUUUU
rnacentral:lncRNA from 1 species